UCGCUCGUAUCUCAGAGGGGAUGACUGAAAAGGUGAACUGCCUUUUUUACUCGAAUAAAGAGCUCAAGAAGGUUCUGAUGUGUUCUGCUUUGUUGACCACUGCUUAAAAUAGACAGCCCUUUUUCGUGCACUUUUGGUGCAUCUAGCUCUCUGCACUAAUAUUGAUUGGCAUUUCAAAUAUAAGACCACGAUCCAGCCAUGGAGUAGUGCAUGUGUUCAUGUUCCUAUGCACUGAAAGUGAGCCUCCAGUCCUCUUAAUUGAGAGACAGAGGAGUCCUCUGCCCUAUGUGCUCCUUUUCCUCCAUCACACGUAGAGUCUUCGACUAAACGGCUCCGACUCAGCAGCAUUCCCCCGAUAUCAAACACAUGUCAUCCUCCCCGCAGGUUCUCUCCGCAGUCUUAUCCUCAGUUCCCCCACGUCUCUGCACACUUUUAACCCCUGAGGCUUUUUGAUGCUGCACGCUAACCGAAAAGCUACUGCAGAGGGGUGCAGGAUUGAUAUGGAGGGGAGUCUUGGAAACCGCAGGAGAGAUGAGAGGGGACCAGAUGAUUUAUUAAGAGUAGGCAUUGUAGAGGAGCUUAGUCGGCUCUUAGUGCACACGUGUAUGGAGGCUUCCCAUGAAGGUUAACAUGGAAAUGGAUGCAUACAUACCGGCUAACGCCUAAUCUCAUACUAAGGGGUUAAAGGAAGCGAAUGAGGCUUGUUUGAUGGAUGUUAAUAAGUCUUUGGUGCAUCUUUGAGCCCUUCAGCAAAACUGCAUUCAAUUUGGUUUUGACUCUGUAAUGGUAGUCACACCAUGAGCUAUGCAUACAUAUUGUAAAUAGAAUAGUCAAAAAUAUUCAAGAGGGUGUGUAUAGUUAGCAUUUAAACCAUGUAAAGUAAAAUAAUUUUUGGUUGGUGAAAUUCUAGAUACGAUAGUUUCGUCAGUUUGCAAUAAUUAAAUCCAGUUUUUCUUCAUCAAAAGAGGCGCAAAGACAAAACAUUAAAAACAUCAUCAAAUCCCGAAACCAAUUGCGGUCGCUGUUUUGCGUCAACUCUCCAUGGAGAUAUCUUACCAAAUUUCAUGCAAUACCAAUGAUUAUGAGUCAGGGACCAGGAAAAACCGAGUGUGACUUUCUUAACCUUGGGGGACCCUGUAGUGUAAGUCACUGAAUGGAUUCAAAAUCACUUUAAACACAUAUGCAGUACAGGUUAAAACAGUGUUAUGCAAAGAAAGUCAUCUACAUAUAUAUGAUAUGAAGGGUACAAUUGUGACGUUCUUUUUGGAAGUCAUCCAUACAGCAUUUUCCAGAGCAGCCCCACCUGUUAUCAGCACAUAGUUCAAAAACAAGCAUCUGUAAAGGUAUGGGGAUGCACAAGAGCCCAUCCCGUGGGUGGCUUGCACAUCUGGGAGUACACAAUUAAUGCUUAACAACAUGUGCGGGUUUCAGAGCAACAUAAGCUGCAUUUGGACUAUGCUCUUUUUAGGGCAGGCCUUGUUUAUUUCAGCUUGACAAGGCCAGACCACAUUCUGGAUGGUAGAGAAAUACCAUAAAAACUUGUUUCAAAAACCCUCCACACAGAAUCAUAGCUUAUCUGAAUUUCAAGUUGUAUUUACUGUAUGCAGACAUCAAAUAAAUCCCUGUUUGCAUGCAUGUAUGAGCUGCUUUUCCUUACAUUCUCGAUUUUUAAAGACAGCUGUUUGAAUCCAAGGUGACAUCUGCUCGGUCCC
rnacentral:lncRNA from 1 species